rnacentral:other from 1 species
AAAUACCUACUGUGUGCGUGAAUUCGAUCACGUUUUGAGCCAACACAAUUACAUUGGGAAUUCUAGUUUAUUUAUGGAUUAAAUGCCUUAACACAUUAAGGACUUAAGAAGUAAAUAGCAGGAUACCCACCUGCUAUAGCAGGUUUCAAAACAAUCGGAUCACGGCAUGGUGGGUAAAUG